rnacentral:lncRNA from 1 species
GUUUAAGAAGUCUACAGGAGUGUACAAUAAUAUCCUAGGCCUUCACAUUCACUCACCACUCACUCACUGACUCAUCAAGAACAACUUCCAGUCCUGCCAGCUCUAUUCAUGGUAAGUUCCCUACACAGGAAAUUGCCUGAAGACACAUUUCUCAGAAUGUACACCCAUCUUUAAGUGAUGCAUGAUCAUAUAUAAAGCAUUUAGAAGGUUCCGGACAUCUACCUGGACGAGCACCCUGAUAAACCCAAUUGCUGAGUGACAUCCGAGAAGCUGAGUUAAAUUCAAUGUUGAUUUGCUUUGCCUAGAAGAAUGGGACUGAGAUGGGAAUGAGCCAUAUCAGAUACAAUGGUAAGGUCAUAAGACCCCUGUUCCAGAGAAGUCUCUACCGAUACCCAGAAGGAAGAAAUGCAUGCUCAGAGAGGCCAGGAAGGAUCCAGAUAGAAGCUGUGUAGAAAUAUAAUUGGAC